rnacentral:sRNA from 1 species
GGAAAAGCUGCUGGAACGGCAGCAGCAGCUGCAGGAGGAGCUGCAGUGCCAUGAGGCAGAGCUGCAGCACCUCAGGGAUACGGUGGCCUCCUUCAAAGAGAGCAGUGAGAAGGACACAGAGACGCACACUCAGCUUCAGGAGAUGAAGCAGCUGUACCAGGCCAGCAAGGAUGAGCUGGAGCGGCAGAAGCACAUGUAUGACCAGCUGGAGCAGGACCUCCUGCUCUGCCAGCUGGAGCUGAAAGAGCUCAAGGCCUCCCAGCCCAUUCUGGAGGACAAAGGAAAGUGUGCUAAUAAGGUAAUUGUUCAGAGAGGUGACAGCUCCUGGGCACUUGCUCCAGAGAGAGGAGGUACAGAGGCAAAAAGUGAAGGCACCCAACCCAAGGGCUUGAUGGGCUUCCUAGGCAGGAAGCAGAGGCAGAGCCACAUGCUGCUAACUUCAAAACAGUUUGCCCUGACCAUGACUUUGAGCCAGAGCCACAGCUUAGUAGGAUCAAUACCUUUGGAUCCCAGUCUGAACCCCUGAAGGUUUUACACGAUUCCAUGUAUGUGGAUAUUUAUACAAUGGUAUUAGAACUGUA